AGAGUUUGAUCCUGGCUCAGAUUGAACGCUGGCGGCAUGCCUUACACAUGCAAGUCGAACGGCAGCGCGGGGCAACCUGGCGGCGAGUGGCGAACGGGUGAGUAAUAUAUCGGAACGUACCCUGGGGUGGGGGAUAACGUAGCGAAAGUUACGCUAAUACCGCAUACGAUCUAAGGAUGAAAGCAGGGGACCGCAAGGCCUUGUGCUCCUGGAGCGGCCGAUAUCUGAUUAGCUAGUUGGUGGGGUAAAGGCCUACCAAGGCAUCGAUCAGUAGCUGGUCUGAGAGGACGACCAGCCACACUGGGACUGAGACACGGCCCAGACUCCUACGGGAGGCAGCAGUGGGGAAUUUUGGACAAUGGGGGCAACCCUGAUCCAGCAAUGCCGCGUGAGUGAAGAAGGCCUUCGGGUUGUAAAGCUCUUUUGUCAGGGAAGAAACGGUGUGGGCUAAUAUCCCGCACUAAUGACGGUACCUGAAGAAUAAGCACCGGCUAACUACGUGCCAGCAGCCGCGGUAAUACGUAGGGUGCAAGCGUUAAUCGGAAUUACUGGGCGUAAAGCGUGCGCAGGCGGUUUUGUAAGUCUGUCGUGAAAUCCCCGGGCUCAACCUGGGAAUUGCGAUGGAGACUGCAAGGCUAGAAUCUGGCAGAGGGGGGUAGAAUUCCACGUGUAGCAGUGAAAUGCGUAGAGAUG
rnacentral:rRNA from 1 species